GAUCAUGGCUCAGGAUGAACGCUGGCGGCGUGCAUAACACAUUCAAGUCGAACGGACGACCCGGAGCUUGCUCCGGGAAGUUAGUGGCGGACGGGUGAGUAACGCGUGAGCAACCUGCCUGUGUGGGCGGAAUAACGUCCGGAAACAGACGCUAAUACCGCAUGACUCACGGACUUCGCAUGGAGACCGUGGCAAAGAUUUAUCGCACACAGAUGGGCUCGCGUCCGAUUAGGCAG
rnacentral:rRNA from 1 species